rnacentral:rRNA from 1 species
AUUGAACGCUGGCGGCAGGCCUAACACAUGCAAGUCGAGCGGAUGAAGGGAGCUUGCUCCUGGAUUCAGCGGCGGACGGGUGAGUAAUGCCUAGGAAUCUGCCUGGCAGUGGGGGAUAACGUCCGGAAACGGGCGUUAAUACCGCAUACGUCCUGAGGGAGAAAGUGGGGGAUCUUCGGACCUCACGCUAUCAGAUGAGCCUAGGUCGGAUUAGCUAGUUGGUGGGGUAAAGGCCUACCAAGGCGACGAUCCGUAACUGGUCUGAGAGGAUGAUCAGUCACACUGGAACUGAGACACGGUCCAGACUCCUACGGGAGGCAGCAGUGGGGAAUAUUGGACAAUGGGCGAAAGCCUGAUCCAGCCAUGCCGCGUGUGUGAAGAAGGUCUUCGGAUUGUAAAGCACUUUAAGUUGGGAGGAAGGGCAGUAAGUUAAUACCUUGCUGUUUUGACGUUACCAACAGAAUAAGCACCGGCUAACUUCGUG